UACAGAGGUCUCAAGCGUUGUUCGGAUUCAUUGGGCGUAAAGGGUGCGUAGGCGGCGCGGUAAGUCGGGUGUGAAAUCUCGGAGCUUAACUCCGAAACUGCAUUCGAUACUGCCGUGCUUGAGGACUGGAGAGGAGACUGGAAUUUACGGUGUAGCGGUGAAAUGCGUAGAUAUCGUAAGGAAGACCAGUGGCGAAGGCGGCAUCCUGGACCAACAUUGACGCUGAGGAGCGAAAGCUAGGGGAGCAAACGGG
rnacentral:rRNA from 1 species